UAAAAAAUUUUGGCGGUAUUUUAAGCUUAUUAGAGGAAUUUGCUCUGUGAUGGACACAACGCCUUAAUCUUACUUAAUUUAGUAAUUUAAAUCAGUUUGUAUACCACUAUAUUAAUUAUAUUGAAUAGUUAUAUUUAAAAUUUUUUUUUAAAAAAUAUAUUAAGUCAAGGUGCAUCUAAUAAUUAUGAAUGAAGUGAAUUACAUUAAUUUUAAUGUAAUUUUUUACAUGAAAAAAUUAAUUAGGAUUUAAUAGUAAAAUACUAAUAUUAUGAGUAUUUGAAUCAAGCUCUAAAAUAUGCACAUAUCGCCCGUCGCUCUCAGAAUUGAGAUAAGUCGUAACAAAGUAAAAAUACUGGAAAGUGUUUUUUAAAAUGAAAUCAUUCGAUGUUUCAUUUACAAUGAAAAUUUUGUUGUUUAACCAUUUUAA
rnacentral:rRNA from 1 species